rnacentral:rRNA from 1 species
GAUGAACGCUGGCGGCGUGCCUAAUACAUGCAAGUCGAGCGAACAGAUGAGGAGCUUGCUCCUCUGACGUUAGCGGCGGAAGGGUGAGUAACACGUGGAUAACCUACCUAUAAGACUGGGAUAACUUCGGGAAACCGGAGCUAAUACCGGAUAAUAUAUUGAACCGCAUGGUUCAAUAGUGAAAGACGGUUUUGCUGUCACUUAUAGAUGGAUCCGCGCCGCAUUAGCUAGUUGGUAAGGUAACGGCUUACCAAGGCAACGAUGCGUAGCCGACCUGAGAGAGUGACCCGGCACACUGGAACUGAGACACGGCCCAGACUGCUACGGAAGGCAGCAGUCGGGAAUCUUCCGCAAUGGGCGAAAGCCUGACGGAGCAACGCCGCGUGAGUGAUGAAGGUCUUCGGAUCGUAACUCUCUGUUAUUAGGGAAGAACAAAUGUGUAAGUAACUAUGCACGUCUUGACGGUACCUAAUCAUAAAGCCACGGCUAAC